GGGGCUGAAGCUUUAAUGGGAAAGCGUCUGAUUUGCACUCAGAAGGUUGCGAGUUCGAUCCUCGUCAGCUCCA
rnacentral:tRNA from 1 species